rnacentral:rRNA from 1 species
UCAAGCGAAUAAGCGCACACGGUGGAUGCCUUGGCGGUCAGAGGCGAUGAAGGACGUGGCAGCCUGCGAAAAGUAUCGGGGAGCUGGCAACAAGCUUUGAUCCGGUAAUGUCCGAAUGGGGAAACCCACCCGCUUGCGGGUAUCCUGCAGUGAAUACAUAGCUGCUGGAAGCGAACCUGGUGAACUGAAAUAUCUAAGUAACCAGAGGAAAAGAAAUCAACCGAGAUUCCGUAAGUAGCGACGAGCGAACGCGGACUAGCCCUUAAGCUGGAUUGGUUCUAGGAAAACGCUCUGGAAAGAGCGGCCAUAGAAGGUGAUAGCCCUGUAUCUGAAAGGGCCAUUCCAGUGAAGACGAGUAGGGCGGGGCACGUGAAACCCUGUCUGAACAUGGGGGGACCAUCCUCCAAGGCUAAAUACUACUGACCGACCGAUAGUGAACCAGUACCGUGAGGGAAAGGCGAAAAGAACCCCGGAGAGGGGAGUGAAAUAGAACCUGAAACCGUGUGCGUACAAGCAGUAGGAGCUCCGCAAGGAGUGACUGCGUACCUUUUGUAUAAUGGGUCAGCGACUUACUGUUCGUGGCAAGCUUAACCGUAUAGGGGAGGCGAAGGGAAACCGAGUCUGAUAAGGGCGCAUAGUCGCGGGCAGUAGACCCGAAACCGGGUGAUCUAGUCAUGCCCAGGGUGAAGGUGCGGUAACACGCACUGGAGGCCCGAACCCACUCCCGUUGCAAAGGUAGGGGAUGAGGUGUGAUUAGGAGUGAAAAGCUAAUCGAACCCGGAGAUAGCUGGUUCUCCUCGAAAGCUAUUUAGGUAGCGCCUCAUAUGUAUCCUCUCGGGGGUAGAGCACUGUUAUGGCUAGGGGGUCAUCGCGACUUACCAAACCAUUGCAAACUCCGAAUACCGAGACGGACUGUAUGGGAGACACACGGCGGGUGCUAACGUCCGUCGUGAAAAGGGAAACAACCCAGACCCACAGCUAAGGUCCCAAAUUCACUGCUAAGUGGAAAACCAUGUGGAAAGGCACAGACAGCCAGGAGGUUGGCUUAGAAGCAGCCACCCUUUAAAGAAAGCGUAAUAGCUCACUGGUCGAGUCGGUCUGCGGGGAAGAUUUAACGGGGCUAAGCAGUGAACCGAAGCUUGGGGUGCAUAACUUUGUUAUGCGCGGUAGAGGAGCGUUCCGUAAGCCGUUGAAGGUGGAUUGAGAAGUCUGCUGGAGGUAUCGGAAGUGCGAAUGCUGACAUGAGUAACGAUAAUGCGGGUGAAAAACCCGCACGCCGAAAGCCCAAGGUUUCCUUGCGCAACGUUAAUCGGCGCAGGGUGAGUCGGCCCCUAAGGCGAGGACGAAAGUCGUAGUCGAUGGGAAGCAGGUUAAUAUUCCUGCACCUCGCGUAAGUGCGAUGGAGGGACGGAGAAGGUUAGGUGUACCAGGCGUUGGUUGUCCUGGGGAAAGGCGGUAGGUUUGGAUCUUUGGCAAAUCCGGGAUCCUCUAAGACCGAGCACCGAGACGAGCCUUUAAGGCGAAGUCACUGAUACCACGCUUCCAGGAAAAGCUCCUAAGCUUCAGCUUACGCAGACCGUACCGUAAACCGACACAGGUGGGUAGGAUGAGAAUUCUCAGGCGCUUGAGAGAACUCGGGUGAAGGAACUAGGCAACAUGGCACCGUAACUUCGGGAGAAGGUGCACCCUUUUUGGUGGCUCGUGCGAGCUAUAGCUGAAGAGGGUCGCAGUAACCAGGCCGCUGCGACUGUUUAUCAAAAACACAGCACUCUGCAAACACGAAAGUGGACGUAUAGGGUGUGACGCCUGCCCGGUGCUGGAAGGUUAAUUGAUGGGGUCAGCCGCAAGGCGAAGCUCUUGAUCGAAGCCCCAGUAAACGGCGGCCGUAACUAUAACGGUCCUAAGGUAGCGAAAUUCCUUGUCGGGUAAGUUCCGACCUGCACGAAUGGCGUAACGACAGCGGCGCUGUCUCCACCCGAGACUCAGUGAAAUUGAAAUCGCUGUGAAGAUGCAGCGUUCCCGUGGCAAGACGGAAAGACCCCGUGAACCUUUACUAUAGCUUUACACUGAACGUUGAGUUCGUCUGUGUAGGAUAGGUGGGAGGCUAUGAAACUGUGGCGCUAGCUGCAGCGGAGCCAUCCUUGAAAUACCACCCUGUCGUGCUUGACGUUCUAACCUGGGCCCAUUAUCUGGGUCGGGGACCGUGUAUGGUGGGUAGUUUGACUGGGGCGGUCUCCUCCUAAAGAGUAACGGAGGAGCUCGAAGGUACGCUCAGCGCGGUCGGACAUCGCGCACUGUGUGCAAAGGCAUAAGCGUGCUUGACUGCAAGAUCGACGGAUCAAGCAGGUAGGAAACUAGGACUUAGUGAUCCGGUGGUUCUGUAUGGAAGGGCCAUCGCUCAACGGAUAAAAGGUACUCCGGGGAUAACAGGCUGAUACCGCCCAAGAGUUCAUAUCGACGGCGGUGUUUGGCACCUCGAUGUCGGCUCAUCACAUCCUGGGGCUGUAGUCGGUCCCAAGGGUAUGGCUGUUCGCCAUUUAAAGUGGUACGCGAGCUGGGUUCAGAACGUCGUGAGACAGUUCGGUCCCUAUCUGCCAUGGGCGUUGGAGAUUUGAGAGGGGCUGCUCCUAGUACGAGAGGACCGGAGUGGACGAACCUCUGGUGUUCCGGUUGUCACGCCAGUGGCAUUGCCGGGUAGCUAUGUUCGGAAGCGAUAACCGCUGAAAGCAUCUAAGCGGGAAGCGCGCCUCAAGAUGAGAUCUCCCGGGGCACAAGCCCCCUGAAGGAACCAUGUAGACUACGUGGUUGAUAGGUCAGGUGUGUAAGUACAGCAAUGUAUUGAGCUAACUGAUACUAAUGAUCCGUGCGGCUUGACCAU